rnacentral:rRNA from 1 species
UACGUAGGCAGCAAGCGUUGUUCGGAGUUACUGGGCGUAAAGAGCUCGUAGGCGGUUCGGCAAGUCGGGUGUGAAAUUUCGAGGCUCAACCUCGAAACGCCACUCGAUACUGCUGUGACUGGAGUCCGGUAGAGGAGUGCGGAAUUCCUGGUGUAGCGGUGAAAUGCGCAGAUAUCAGGAGGAACACCAACGGCGAAGGCAGCACUCUGGGCCGGUACUGACGCUGAGACGCGAAAGCGUGGGGAGCGAACAGG